rnacentral:snRNA from 1 species
UACGGUGCCCAACUGCGCGC